GACGGAGGGUGCUAGCGUUGUUCGGAAUGACUGGGCGUAAAGGGCGCGUAGGCGGCCGCUUGCGUCGGAUGUGAAAGCCCGGGGCUCAACCCCGGAACGGCAUCCGAUACGGAGCGGCUCGAGACCGAGAGAGGUGAGUGGAAUACCCAGUGUAGAGGUGAAAUUCGUAGAUAUUGGGUGGAACACCGGUGGCGAAAGCGGCUCACUGGCUCGGUUCUGACGCUGAGAGACGAAAGCUAGGGGAGCAAAUGGG
rnacentral:rRNA from 1 species